UGCCUAAUACAUGCAGUCGAGCGGACAGAAGGGAGCUUGCUCCCGGAUGUUAGCGGCGGACGGGUGAGUAACACGUGGGUAACCUGCCUGUAAGACUGGGAUAACUCCGGGAAACCGGAGCUAAUACCGGAUAGUUCCUUGAACCGCAGGUUCAAGGAUGAAAGACGGUUUCGGCUGUCACUUACAGAUGGACCCGCGGCGCAUAGCUAGUUGGUGGGGUAAUGGCUCACCAAGGCGACGAUGCGUAGCCGACCUGAGAGGGUGAUCGGCCACACUGGGACUGAGACACGGCCCAGACUCCUACGGGAGGCAGCAGUAGGGAAUCUUCCGCAAUGGACGAAAGUCUGACGGAGCAACGCCGCGUGAGUGAUGAAGGUUUUCGGAUCGUAAAGCUCUGUUGUUAGGGAAGAACAAGUGCGAGAGUAACUGCUCGCACCUUGACGGUACCUAACCAGAAAGCCACGGCUAACUACGUGCCAGCAGCCGCGGUAAUACGUAGGUGGCAAGCGUUGUCCGGAAUUAUUGGGCGUAAAGGGCUCGCAGGCGGUUUCUUAAGUCUGAUGUGAAAGCCCCCGGCUCAACCGGGGAGGGUCAUUGGAAACUGGGAAACUUGAGUGCAGAAGAGGAGAGUGGAAUUCCACGUGUAGCGGUGAAAUGCGUAGAGAUGUGGAGGAACACCAGUGGCGAAGGCGACUCUCUGGUCUGUAACUGACGCUGAGGAGCGAAAGCGUGGGGAGCGAACAGGAUUAGAUACCCUGGUAGUCCACGCCGUAAACGAUGAGUGCUAAGUGUUAGGGGUUUCCGCCCCUUAGUGCUGCAGCUAACGCAUUAAGCACUCCGCCUGGGGAGUACGGUCGCAAGACUGAAACUCAAGAAUUGACGGGGGCCCGCACAAGCGGUGGAGCAUGUGGUUUAAUUCGA
rnacentral:rRNA from 1 species